rnacentral:rRNA from 1 species
AGUAGCGGCGAGCGAAAAGGGAUCAGCCCAAAGCCGAAUCCCGUGCCCUCAGGGCAUCGGGAAAUGUGGCGUAUGGGAGGCGGAACUUUCCGCGCGUUGAAGGCGGCUCAAGUCCCCAUGAAUGGGGCUACGACCGAAGUGGGUGUGAGUCCCGUUCAGUCGCUCUUCUCGCGCAGAGUACCGUUCUCCCGGGAGUCGGGUUGCUUGAAAGUGCAGCCCAAAGUGGGUGGUAUGCUCCACCUAAGGCUAAAUAUCCCCGAGAGACCGAUAGCAAAAAAGUACCGUGAGGGAAAGUUGAAAAGAACUUUGAAGAGAGAGUUCAAUAGUACGUGAAACCGCUUAGAAGUAAACGGGUGGGCCCUCGAAGUCCAAAAGGCGGAGAGAUUCAGUUCGGGCGCAUCGAACUGGCCGGUUCGGCGUUGGCGUACACAAACGAGUCGGUGUCGCCACGCUGUCCGCGGCCCGCGCCCGGGCGCAAUUCUGUUCCGCCCGUAGGAGGCCGCGACUGGUUGGCCGAUGGUCGGAAGGACGGACCUGGGAAAGGUGGCCGGCCUCUCUUCGGAGGGGCCGGUGUUAUAGCCCKRGWCCGUAUAGCUGACCGUCGCGCCGACUCAGGACGAGAGAAACCUCGCUGUGCGUUCCCUCUUUCGAGAGUUGGUCCGCGUCUCGCGCCCGCUGUUCACGGCGGCCAUUACCUUUCGGGGUGGGUCDUUGUCGUUCGAAGGSGCGUUCGCGGAUCCGCAGGGAUUGCCAGAGGUCUGC